UACAGAGGGUGCGAGCGUUAAUCGGAAUUACUGGGCGUAAAGCGUGCGUAGACGGCUAUCUAAGUCGGGUGUGAAAGCCCCGGGCUCAACCUGGGAAUUGCAUUCGAGACUGAAUAGCUAGGGUGCGGUAGAGGGAAGCGGAAUUCCCGGUGUAGCGGUGAAAUGCGUAGAGAUCGGGAAGAACAUCGGUGGCGAAAGCGCUCUACUGGACCGCAACUGACACUCAGGGACGAAAGCCAGGGGAGCGAACGGG
rnacentral:rRNA from 1 species